rnacentral:rRNA from 1 species
GUCCACGCCGUAAACUAUGGAUGCUAGCCGUCGGCAAGCUUGCUUGUCGGUGGCGCAGCUAACGCAUUAAGCAUCCCGCCUGGGGAGUACGGCCGCAAGGUUAAAACUCAAAGGAAUUGACGGGGGCCCCGCACAAGCGGUGGAGCAUGUGGUUUAAUUCGACGCAACGCGAAGAACCUUACCAGCUCUUGACAUGUCCGGUCGGUUUCCAGAAAUGGGAUCCUCCUAGCAAUAGGUCGGAACACAGGUGCUGCAUGGCUGUCGU